CAUAACAACAAAAACAUCCCGACCGCCUUCCGCCAGGCAGCUCGUCGCAGAGCCAUACUUCUUAGCUGCAGCCACAGCCAAGGAACUGUGGACCGAAACAAAGGCGGAGAUUUGACUGAGUCAGAUUUUCCUAGUGGGAACUCCUUUCUUGGCAGCCGGGCCCGGGCCCGGCUCUCGUGUGGCGGGGUCCCAGCGUUCCGCUCCCAGCCUCGCAACGCCUCUUCCAAGAUAGCUGAGCUGAUUCCAAAGGCCUGUGACCGUGUUCUGGGGAGAAACACACAUCUUCACAUGGCUGACUUCUCAUCAGGUCUCAAGUCAAACGUUACGAGUCUUGCCCCGACCACUUAACUGAGGUGCUCCAACCCCAAAACUGGUCUCUAGCCCAUCUUCAAGCACUCGUCGCUCUCCAAAGAGGAGGAAGCAAGAUGGCGCCCGGAGUAGGUAAGAUGUCUUCCUGGAGGAGUUAGAGGUGACGCUGAUCUCAAAGGAAGGAGACCCUGGAGAAGAGCAGCAGGGACGCUCACGAGGCGCUCACCAAACGGCUGCUUUUUGAGCACCUACUGUGUGCCAGGCAGGAGACUCCAACAGGCCGAACCCCUGCCCUCAUGGAGCCUGUUCUCAAAGCACAGCCGCCUCUGCCUGGGGCCGACCCUGCCCGCAACG